rnacentral:rRNA from 1 species
GACGAACGCUGGCGGCGUGCUUAACACAUGCCAGUCGAACGGAAAGGCCCCCACUUUUUUGGUGGGGGUGCUCGAGUGGCGAACGGGUGAGUAACACGUGGGUGAUCUGCCCUGUACUGCGGGAUAAGCUUGGGAAACUGGGUCUAAUACCGGAUAGGACCAUGGAUUAGUGUCUCAUGGUGGAAAAAUUAUUGUUUUGGUGCAGGAUGAGCUCGCGGCCUAUCAGCUUGUUGGUGGGGUAAUGGCCUACCAAGGCGUCGACGGGUAGCCGGCCUGAGAGGGUGGCCGGCCACAUUGGGACUGAGACACGGCCCAGACUCCUACGGGAGGCAGCAGUGAGGAAUGUUGCACAAUGGGCGCAAGCCUGAUGCAGCGACGCCGCGUGGGGGAUGACGGCCUUCGGGUUGUAAACUCCUUUCGUUAGGGACGAAGUCGCACCUUUUUUGGGUGUGGUGACGGUACCUUUGUUAAGAAGCACCGGCUAACUACGUG